CACUGGUACUUUUCACGGCAGCAACACAAGCGAGGAAAAUCACAGCUAAAGCAAAAUUGCGAAAUUCGAAAGGAGGGGAGCCGAUUUGGUCUCCGUGUGUAUGGUAUGACGCAUACGAACACAUUGAUGUAAAGGCACUUUGGGAAACUAUUGCUUCUGAUGGUUGGAGGCCAACAUCAGCUCAUCUAAUACUUAUUGAAUGAGGGGUAGUCAUUGGUGGAAUGGGGUAUGGUGGAGCAUAAUGACAGCUGCUUGCUGCUGCAUCACCAACACAUUAUGACUGCAACAGUACAAACAGAAAACCAUCCAAGGACUUGGCCGGGAAGCUUAGUUUCGAUCUGUAUGCAACAAUGGUUCCUGCUAAGAAACGACAAAUGCUAGAUGAUCUUAACGAAAAGCGUCAACAGAAAAUUAAUGUAGCCAAGUCUACACUAACUCACGACGUCAAUGCUGGUUCAAACUCAGUCAGAGUGUUCUGAAGAUGAGCUCAUGAGCUGCUUUCUGUUGUGAAUUGUGAUUAUGAAGAAUGGUAGAAAAGUUAUAUGUGGAACUCAGGCUGGAACUCUGCUAUUGUACUCAUGGGCUUGUUUAAGGAUUGCAGUGAUCGAUUUUUCGAUUUGUCACCAAACUCGGGUUCAAUCAAUAGUGUUUGAUCAUGACAUUAGAAUGCAUAAUCUUACUCUACAGACCAACAUGUAGUAAAUCAUCUCAAAUGCCAUUGUCAAACCUCUCUGUACAAACUAUAAAGUAGUUAAUCACAAAUUACUGAUAGAAGUGGAUGCCUUGUUGCAUUCGUGUUUGGAAAAUGUGCUGAACAACUAUUAUUCUUAACCAGUAAACAAGUUAUGUAAUUAGCACAACAGGUACUACUCCACUUCCAGCCACAAGCACUCAUGUUUUACAUUAAAUUAACCUAUGACUAACUACAUAUGAAUCUUGCAGGGUCAACAACUAAGAAUUCAACAUAUCAAUAACUACUUACAAGAUGAAGACUACUAAUACAAUUGAGAUCUCAAUCCUAUACACAAGGCAAAACACAUGGUAUCAUAUACCAUAACAUCAUUGCACGAAUCAUUCUCAUUGACUACCACAAGUAAACAAGAUGGAGAAGAUGAAGACAAUUUUGAGCCUCAACAAAAGCGCACAAAGAAAAAUUAAUUUAAUUUUCUUGUACUCUUUAUCCAAUUGUUUUAUUCUAGUGGUUAAUCAUGAUAGACAGUUAGCUUUAGUUAGUCAUUUA